rnacentral:lncRNA from 1 species
UAGAGGUAGUGGUAGUUGUGGUUUUGUGUGUAUGUGUGUGUUUGGUUUGGGUUUUUGGAAACAUGGAUUCCAGGGACCAGGCUCUGGCCAUCAGGCUUACACACAGAGGGAUCAGGCUCAGGCCAUCAGGCUAACACACAGAGUGAAACCUUUACUCGUGGAGCCAUCUUGCCAGUGUCACAAGCAUUUCCUUCUUAUUAGUUCUGAUCAGGUUCAGGACCUGAGCUUGGCUUACUGACUAUCUCAAGUUAAAGGAAUUUGAGAGGGUAACAGAAUCAGGCAGAUGACUCUCACCUGCCCUGAAGCAGGUCCUAUUCUCUCAACACAGACUGACCUCUUCACACCCAAAGGAAGGAAACAGUUUUAUUUUUGCAGAUGCAGGUAAGGCCGGGCGUGGUGGCGCACGCCUUUAAUCCCAGCACUCGGGAGGCAGAGGCAGGCCAAUUUCUGAGUUCGAGGCCAGCCUGGUCUACAAAGUGAGCUCCAGGACAGCCAGGGCUAUACAGAGAAACCCUGUCUCGAAAAAACCAAAAAAAAAAAAAAAAAAAAAAAAAAUUGAGACACACAUGAGCUUUUUAGUUCCUCCAGUUCACUAUGCCAUUUAUCCAAUUACAUUUUUUCCUUACUGUCCAUUCUCCAGUUAGGAAAAAAUGGCUUAGAACAUCCCUCAUGAACAUGAAUAGUGGUUCUUCUUGGGCUUUGUAUAAAGGCUGGGAGCCAUAGAAUUUAAGAUGAAACAAACCAAGAUGGGUCUUCUGAGAAGGUAGGUAGCAAGCUAAAACAGAAAAGAGAUCCAUUGCCUUAGAUAAUGAAGAUAAGAGUAGCUAACAGUUUUUGACAUUUUUCUCUGUACACUAAACUAAGGUUUAAUGCACAUUAUCUUACUGGGUAUCUUACUGGGCAAAAGAGUUGGUAUUUGAGGUAUAGUGCAGAAGCCAGCUCUGUGUGUGUGCUGAGAGGGAGUGUCAUGUCUUCUACAGACUGCUGUGGUUGGCAGAAAUACCUGCAUGUGCAGCCAAAGUGUCUUGCAGGAAACACCCUUAUAUCUGGACAAGUAGUCACUAGAGACCAGAGUUCUGCCUCACACAACCUACAGGAAACAACCAAGAGAAUGUGAGGGGAGGUGCUAACCGUUGUCUCUCUCAACCACAGAAGAGCCUGCACAUGAGGCAGUGUAUCAGCCCUGGAACAUAGCAGAGCCCCUGGACACCUGGGACUUAUUCCUGAGCAACAGAUAAACAUUAUCUGGAGAGACAUCUGGACAAAGGCAUUUCUAAAGUGUCCCCAGGCAGAAUGAGAACAACUGGUCAAGGUCAUAAGAGGUACUGGAUUUCCUAGGACUGGAAUUGCAGAUGAUCGUGAGCUACCAAUGAGGAUGGUGGUACUUGAACCUGGGUCCUCUGGAAGAGCAGACUCACUCUUAGCUGCUCAGCCACCUCUCCAAGUCCCAUACGCUGGUUCUUUCAUAUUGCAGGUAUUUCUUCCCAUCAUUU